rnacentral:lncRNA from 1 species
GAACAGUCUAGGAAAUCGGAGUACAUGCAAGAGAUUGAUUUCCGACUCAAACGUCCUUCAAAGAAUUUACUGUUACCGAAUUCCCCCUUCCAACUUUCUUAGUCACCACUUAGUUGAACCAAAUUUCUACAUGGUAGGUUUUGCUUGCCAAAUUUUAGGUUCUAUUAGUUUUGUUAUCGAACUUUCUUUAGGUUACCCCUUUGUUUUUAAGAGUUUAUUAUUAUUAUUAUUAUUAUUAUUAUUAUUAUUAUUAUUAUUAUUAUUAUUAUGAAAAUGUUGCAGCGGAUAGUUUCUUUGCUGAGGAGGCUGCAUAAUUCAGACAUUAGGUCCCAACAAUCAAAUAAUUUUAUAUAAAAGAUAAAUAAAAGCCUUUAAUGCAACAAUGGUCUUCGAAAUAUUACUAUAAUUUGAUAAUUUGAUUUUGGUCCCCAACUUUUUAUCCCAUUUUGCAUUGCUAAUCCCACGUUGGCAUUUUGACUGAAAAUUACUUAUAUGCCAUUAUCAAAUAUAAAAAUUGCUUUCAAAAUAAUAAAUGAAAUUUAAAAAUAAAAUUUGUUUUAAAAAUGUCUUUUAGACAAUAUUUAUAAAAUAAAAAAUUGUUAAAAAUUUUCUAAAAUAAAAUUAAGUUACUUCAUAUCACUAAGUGUGUUUUUAGUAAAAAAAAAACAAAAAUUCUAAUGAAAAUUAAGUAAAAAUAUUUAACGCUAUUUAAGAAAAAAAUUUCUAAUGAUUAUGUUACUUCAUAUCACUAAGUGUGUUUUUAGUAAAAAAAAAUAAAAUAUCACUAAGUGUGUUUAAGAGACAAAAUCAACACGUUGAUAUACCGAAAAGCCAUUUACUAAAUAUUCUAAAGAGACAAAUACAAGUCCUUUGAUGAAGUUUAUACACACUAUAAAUUAUUCAAAUGGUAUUCUAUUUCUU